rnacentral:snRNA from 1 species
GUGCUNGCUUCGGCAGCACAUAUACUACAAUUGGAUUGAUACAAAGAAGAUUGGCAUGGCCCCUGCACAAGGAUGACACGCAAAUUUGUGAAGCGUUCUAAAUUUUA